AACGGUCGUACCAUGUUGAAUAUACCGGUUCUCGUUAGAUCACCGAAGUCAAGCAUCAUUGGGCGCGGUCAGUACUUGGGUGGGUGACCACCUGGGAACACCGCUUGCCGU
rnacentral:rRNA from 1 species